AUUGAACGCUGGCGGCAUGCUUUACACAUGCAAGUCGAACGGUAACAGGCCGCAAGGUGCUGACGAGUGGCGAACGGGUGAGUAAUGCAUCGGAACGUGCCCAGUCGUGGGGGAUAACGCAGCGAAAGCUGCGCUAAUACCGCAUACGAUCUAUGGAUGAAAGCGGGGGACCGUAAGGCCUCGCGCGAUUGGAGCGGCCGAUGUCAGAUUAGGUAGUUGGUGGGGUAAAGGCUCACCAAGCCAACGAUCUGUAGCUGGUCUGAGAGGACGACCAGCCACACUGGGACUGAGACACGGCCCAGACUCCUACGGGAGGCAGCAGUGGGGAAUGUUGGACAAUGGGCGCAAGCCUGAUCCAGCAAUGCCGCGUGCAGGAAGAAGGCCUUCGGGUUGUAAACUGCUUUUGUACGGAACGAAACGGUCCUGGUUAAUACCUGGGGCUAAUGACGGUACCGUAAGAAUAAGCACCGGCUAACUCUGUGCCAGCCGCCGCAGUAACAC
rnacentral:rRNA from 1 species